AAGGGGCAAACCUAGAUAGUUGAAUAAAUCGGGCUGCAUAUUGGGAUACAGACAAGCUUCCUUGGCAGAGAUCCUAGAACUCCUCUUUCUUUUUCUGAACAUAAGUAGGGAAAACGUUAUCAAAGAAAGUGUCCAUGAAAAUUUCCUAGGUAGUAAGGGUAGGCAGGACUUCUUUCUUAAGUCGCCACCAGUGUUCGCCUUCACCGUUUAAUAUGAAAGCUACAAGAGGGACUUUUUGUUCU
rnacentral:lncRNA from 1 species